GACGAACGCUGGCGGCGUGCCUAAUACAUGCAAGUAGAACGCACAGUUUAUACCGUAGCUUGCUACACCAUAGACUGUGAGUUGCGAACGGGUGAGUAACGCGUAGGUAACCUGCCUGGUAGCGGGGGAUAACUAUUGGAAACGAUAGCUAAUACCGCAUAAUAUUAAUUAUUGCAUGAUAAUUAAUUGAAAGGUGCAAUUGCACCACUACCAGAUGGACCUGCGUUGUAUUAGCUAGUAGGUGAGGUAACGGCUCACCUAGGCGACGAUACAUAGCCGACCUGAGAGGGUGAUCGGCCACACUGGGACUGAGACACGGCCCAGACUCCUACGGGAGGCAGCAGUAGGGAAUCUUCGGCAAUAGGCGCAAGCCUGACGGAGCAACGCCGCGUGAGUGAAGAAGGUCUUCGGAUCGUAAAGCUCUGUUGACGGGGACGAACGUGCGAAGGGUGAAUAAUCCUUUGUAAUGACGGUACCUGUCGAGGAAGCCACGGCUAACUACGUG
rnacentral:rRNA from 1 species